rnacentral:rRNA from 1 species
UGGCGGACGGGUGAGUAGCGCGUGGGCAAACCUGGCCUGUACAGGGGGAUAACACUUAGAAAUAGGUGCUAAUACCGCAUAACGGGGGAAGCCGCAUGGCUUUUCCCUGAAAACUCCGGUGGUACAGGAUGGGCCCGCGUCUGAUUAGCCAGUUGGCAGGGUAACGGCCUACCAAAGCGACGAUCAGUAGCCGGCCUGAGAGGGCGGACGGCCACACUGGGACUGAGACACGGCCCAGACUCCUACGGAAGGCAGCAG